CCUCCCCUCACCCCACUCAUCCUGAUCCCUAUUCGAAGAAACAGAACAGAAGUCAAGCAAGGCUGGGCCCUUUCCUCACCACAGGGCUCUGGACUGGGUCUGGCUGAGAGUGGAGGAGAGAAGCUCUAAGAUAAGUAAGAAAUUUCAAUUAGUUUGUUUAGCGAGGUAUGAUUUCCAGAGGGUAAAAUUCACCACUACUAAUGAUCAGUAUCACAGUCAAGACAGAAAAUACCACCAUCACCUUAAAAAGGUUUUGGGUGCCCCUUCAUGGUGACCUCCUUUCUCCAUCCCCAGACCCUGGCAAUCACUGAUUGGUUUUCUCCUGUAGUUUUGCCUUUUCCAGAAUGUCAGAUAAAUGCAGUCACAAAAUAUGCGGCCUUUUGAGUCCGGUCUCUUUCUCUUGAUACAUGCAUUUGAGAUUCAUCAUGUUUCCCAAGCAUUAGAGCUUCCUUCUUUUUACUGGGCAAGAACUCCAUUGUGUGGGUGGCCACGGUUUGUCCAUCCAUUCACCUACUAAAAAGCAUUUGGAUUGCUUCCAGGCUUUGGCAAUUAUAAAUGAAGCCACCAUAAAUAUUCACAUGCAGAUUUUUGUCUGAACAUAAGCUUUUGUUUCUCUUGGGUAAACACCUAGAAUAGGAGUUUGGGUCAGAUGGCAGGUGCAUGUUUAUCUUUCAAGGACUCUGCCAAACUGUUCAAAAGUG
rnacentral:lncRNA from 1 species